GUCUAUCUGGUGGCCUAGUGGUUAGAGCGUCCGUCUCGGAUGCGGGAGGUCGCGGGUCCGAAUCCCGGCUGAGUCA